UACGAAGGGGGCUAGCGUUGCUCGGAAUCACUGGGCGUAAAGGGCGCGUAGGCGGGCCUUUAAGUCAGGGGUGAAAUCCUGGAGCUCAACUCCAGAACUGCCUUUGAUACUGAGGAUCUUGAGUUCGGGAGAGGUGAGUGGAACUGCGAGUGUAGAGGUGAAAUUCGUAGAUAUUCGCGAGAACACCCGUAGCGAAGGCGGCGCUCUGGGCCGGUACUGACGCUGAGGAGCGAAAGCGUGGGUAGCAAACAGG
rnacentral:rRNA from 1 species